rfam:Schistosoma mansoni strain Puerto Rico chromosome 5, complete genome
CGGGGAAAGAAGACCCUGUUGAGCUUGACUCUAGUCCGACUUUGUGAGGAGACAUGAUGGAUGUAGUAUAGGUGGGAGCUGGGUGCUUCGGUGUCCAGCGCAAAUGAAAUACCACUGCUAUCAUUGUUUCUUUACUUAUUCAGUGAAACGGGAACGAAAUUGUAUUUUGGUUCAAAGCACAUUUCGGGGUGCGUGGUCUAUCGCUGCGUGCUUCGAUAUCUUGGUCAUGUCAGAUGAGUCGUGGUGCAAAUUGCGGUGUUUGAGUCUUGAUGUGAUGUGCGACCCGUUCUGAAGACCAUGUCAGGCGGGGAGUUUGACUGGGGCGGUACAUCCGUCAAAUGGUAACGCGGGUGUCCUAUGGUGAGCUCAGUCAGGACAGAAACCUGGCGUAGAGUAAAAGGGCAAAAGCUUACUUGAUUUUGAUUUUCAGUACGAAUACAGACCGUGAAAGCGUGGCCUAUCGAUCCUUUUGAUGUUAUUUUCGGAGUUUGAAGCAAGAGGUGUCAGAAAAGUUACCACAGGGUUGGGAGGCAAAAUCCGACUCACACGUCCUCGUCGUGCCUCCUGGAUCAUGGGACUGAUUCCAUGAACUAACGUGAGCGGUAACCCG